ACUACCACUGUCUAGGAGGAGUUUCUUGGUGACUAGAGGAAGCUGAAGGGUAUGCCUCUUCAUUGUACUAGAGAGAGUAUAUAUAGGGAGAUCAGGAGAACUGUUGGUCAAGACAAUGUUGACUUAGACGUGGUAGAGGUGAGUGGGAAACCACAGGAGCCCAGCACAGGUUCAGAACCACCAAUCACAAGCAUUAACCAGCCAACUACAAGCAACAGACAGAGGAUGAAUGAGAAGAAACCCUGUCAACCCAACAUCGAAGACAUUGAAAAGUUGAAGCAGAUCGUCAACAGGGUAAAAUUAGCCCUUCAACAGAGUUCAAGUAAUCCAAAGAAAACAAGAAAGCAGAAAGGAUUAGUCUGUUACCGCAGGGCAUAUAAAAAGGCGAAUCCAAAUAAGGCAGUCCAAGGAAAAAAGAAACUGGACAACUCUGCCUCUGCGAGUAAUGUCUCACCCAAGUAGAGCCCAAGACCUAAAACUCUUCUCUGCAUCUCCAGAGGAAAUUCUGAAAAACGGCCAAUCCAUAAAGAAUAAACCUUAUACCAAAAUGUACACUAAUGGUGACAAUAAAAGCAACACAUUUUGAAAAUGA